UGGGGAAUAUUGGACAAUGGGCGCAAGCCUGAUCCAGCCAUGCCGCGUGAGUGACGAAGGUCUUCGGAUUGUAAAGCUCUUUUAGCAGGGAAGAUAAUGACGGUACCUGCAGAAUAAGCCCCGGCUAACUUCGUGCCAGCAGCCGCGGUAAUACGAAGGGAGCUAGCGUUGUUCGGAAUCACUGGGCGUAAAGCGCACGUAGGUGGGCAGUUAAGUCAGGGGUGAAAGCCCGAGGCUCAACCUCGGAAUUGCCUCUGAUACUGGCUGUCUAGAGUUCGAGAGAGGUGAGUGGAAUUCCUAGUGUAGAGGUGAAAUUCGUAGAUAUUAGGAAGAACACCGGUGGCGAAGGCGGCUCACUGGCUCGAUACUGACACUGAGGUGCGAAAGCGUGGGGAGCAAACAGGAUUAGAUACCCCAGUAGUCCCUGAGCGGGCUGGCAAGGCGCAU
rnacentral:rRNA from 1 species